rnacentral:rRNA from 1 species
UACGAAGGGGGCUAGCGUUGUUCGGAAUUACUGGGCGUAAAGGGCGCGUAGGCGGUGUGUCAAGUCAGGCGUGAAAGCCCCGGGCUCAACCUGAGAACAGCGCUUGAGACUGGCACGCUCGAGUUCGGGAGAGGAUGGUGGAAUUCCCAGUGUAGAGGUGAAAUUCGUAGAUAUUGGGAAGAACACCGAUGGCGAAGGCAGCCAUCUGGACCGACACUGACGCUGAGGCGCGAAAGCGUGGGGAGCGAACAGG